GUGUGGGUUCCCAAUCUCCUGCUUUAACCCAUGAAGCCCCACGCCUAACUCAGAGCUAAUAAUGAAAUCUUUUUCAAAUGUUUUUACAUACUGCUUAAGUUUUCCUUUAUAUCCUCUCUCAAUUUGCUAACUGGCUGCUGCUGCCUAUAGCUUCAGAUGGCCUGACAGAGUUAAUUAAUCUCUUGACUCAUGUCUCCCUCCCUUUCUAGGUUACUUUCUCCCUACACACACCUCUCUUCACUUCUGCCCUCUCUUUGUUUUAAAAGUUAAAAGUUAUACUUGUUACACAAAUCUCCAUCGCAGAAAAAGACAAAGCAACGACAAACAAGCAAAGAGAAAGCCAGAGUGCUCAGCAGGGGAAAGAAAUACACCUUGUCAGAGAAGACUGUGGACAUCUAUUUUCGCAUAGGUCACCUGGAAGACAGCAUCUACAAAAAACGACUGGAUCUACAUCAACUACUGGUGUAUUAUGGAGCAAUGCAAACCGAAAGAGCAUCACACCAUGGCUUGUUCUGCCAGAAAUGUUGUUGACUCUGCAACUUAUUGUGUGUCCACAAUGAUUCAGGCCAAUCCAAUGGAAUAGCGAAGCUAGCCGCUCCUGUCUCCUGCCCAGUGAAACUUACCAGAUGGUAACAAUCAGCAGAAAGGAUAACUUAUAACAUGGAUGGACAGUACUGUGUGGUAACUAAUUACAAGAAAUUUAUAUAUGAAGACCUCAUUUGUGAUGUCACUACUCCAAAUUUCUGUUAUACUCCUCAUAUACAUAGCACUGUGGGACACACUCAUAAUGCCUAUCCCAGUAUUUCAGAGCAACUCUAAGACUACACCUCUCAACUAAAGUCCCAGACCUAACAUUGCCAGGCCCAGUA